rnacentral:rRNA from 1 species
GAUGAACGCUAGCGGCAGGCCUAAUACAUGCAAGUCGAACGCUCAGUAGCAAUACUGGGAGUGGCGCACGGGUGCGUAACGCGUACACAAUCUACCUCUAAGCGGGGGACACCUCCUGGAAACGGGGAUUAAUACCGCAUAAUAUGCCGAAGUCGCAUGACUUUGGUAUUAAAAGCAGCAAUGCACUUAGAGAUGAGUGUGCGUCCCAUUAGGUAGUUGGUGAGGUAACGGCUCACCAAGCCUAUGAUGGGUAGCCGGUCUGAGAGGAUGGUCGGCCACACGGGCACUGAGACACGGGCCCGACUCCUACGGGAGGCAGCAGUAAGGAAUAUUGGUCAAUGGUGGAAACACUGAACCAGCCAUGCCGCGUGGA